rnacentral:rRNA from 1 species
AUGAACGCUAGCGACAGGCCUAACACAUGCAAGUCGAGGGGCAGCGGGGAGGUAGCAAUACCUUUGCCGGCGACCGGCGCACGGGUGAGUAACACGUAUGCAAUCCACCUGUAACAGGGGGAUAACCCGGAGAAAUCCGGACUAAUACCCCAUAAUAUGGGCUCUCCGCAUGGAGGGUUCAUUAAAGAGAGCAAUUUUGGUUACAGACGAGCAUGCGCUCCAUUAGCCAGUUGGCGGGGUAACGGCCCACCAAAGCGACGAUGGAUAGGGGUUCUGAGAGGAAGGUCCCCCACAUUGGAACUGAGACACGGUCCAAACUCCUACGGGAGGCAGCAGUGAGGAAUAUUGGUCAAUGGUCGGCAGACUGAACCAGCCAAGUCGCGUGAGGGAAGACGGCCCUACGGGUUGUAAACCUCUUUUGUCGGAGAGUAAAGUACGCUACGUGUAGUGUAUUGCAAGUAUCCGAAGAAAAAGCAUCGGCUAACUCCGUGCCAGCAGCCGCGGUAAUACGGAGGAUGCAAGCGUUAUCCGGAUUUAUUGGGUUUAAAGGGUGCGUAGGCGGCACGCCAAGUCAGCGGUGAAAUUUUCGGGCUCAACCCGGACUGUGCCGUUGAAACUGGCGAGCUAGAGUGCACAAGAGGCAGGCGGAAUGCGUGGUGUAGCGGUGAAAUGCAUAGAUAUCACGCAGAACCCCGAUUGCGAAGGCAGCCUGCUAGGGUGCGACAGACGCUGAGGCACGAAAGCGUGGGUAUCGAACAGGAUUAGAUACCCUGGUAGUCCACGCAGUAAACGAUGAAUACUAACUGUUUGCGAUACAAUGUAAGCGGUACAGCGAAAGCGUUAAGUAUUCCACCUGGGGAGUACGCCGGCAACGGUGAAACUCAAAGGAAUUGACGGGGGCCCGCACAAGCGGUGGAGCAUGUGGUUUAAUUCGAAGCAACGCGAAGAACCUUACCAGGUCUUGACAUCCUCUGACAACCCUAGAGAUAGGGCUUCUCCUUCGGGAGCAGAGUGACAGGUGGUGCAUGGUUGUCGUCAGCUCGUGUCGUGAGAUGUUGGGUUAAGUCCCGCAACGAGCGCAACCCCUAUCGACAGUUACUAACGGGUCAAGCCGAGGACUCUGUCGAGACUGCCGGCGCAAGCCGCGAGGAAGGUGGGGAUGACGUCAAAUCAGCACGGCCCUUACGUCCGGGGCGACACACGUGUUACAAUGGCAGGUACAGAAGGCAGCCAGUCAGCAAUGACGCGCGAAUCCCGAAAACCUGUCUCAGUUCGGAUUGGAGUCUGCAACCCGACUCCAUGAAGCUGGAUUCGCUAGUAAUCGCGCAUCAGCCAUGGCGCGGUGAAUACGUUCCCGGGCCUUGUACACACCGCCCGUCAAGCCAUGGAAGCCGGGAGUACCUGAAGCAUGCAACCGCAAGGAGCGUACGAAGGUAAUACCGGUAACUGGGGCU